rnacentral:lncRNA from 1 species
UAAUACCACAGAGUGGUGGGCCCUGUUAGACUAGUAAUACCACAGAGUGGUGGGCCCUGUUAGACUAAAGUCUACAACUAGUGAUACCACAGAGUGGUGGGCCCUGUUAGACUAUAGUCUACAACUAGUAAUACCACAGAGUGGUGGGCCCUGUUAGACUACAGCCUACAACUAGUAAUACCACAGAGUGGUGGGCCCUGUUAGACUAGUAAUACCACAGAGUGGUGGGCCCUGUUAGACUAGCCUACAACUAGUAAUACCACAGAGUAGUGGGCCCGUGUUAGACUAGUGAUCCACAGAGUGGUGGGCCCUGUUAGACUAGUGAUAUCACAGAGUGGUGGUCCAUGUUAAGACUAGUGAACCACA